rnacentral:rRNA from 1 species
UACGUAGGGUGCGAGCGUUGUCCGGAAUUAUUGGGCGUAAAGGGCUCGUAGGCGGUCUGUCACGUCGGGUGUGAAAACACGGGGCUUAACCCCGUGCCUGCUUCCGAUACGGGCAGACUAGAGGUAUGCAGGGGAGAACGGAAUUCCUGGUGUAGCGGUGAAAUGCGCAGAUAUCAGGAGGAACACCGGUGGUGAAGACGGUUCUCUGGGCAUUACCUGACGCUGAGGAGCGAAAGUGUGGGGAGCGAGCAGG